rnacentral:rRNA from 1 species
UACGUAGGGGGCAAGCGUUGUCCGGAUUUAUUGGGCGUAAAGAGCGUGUAGGCGGCCAGAUAGGUCAGCUGUGAAAACUCGAGGCUCAACCUCGAGACGUCGGUUGAAACCAUCUGGCUAGAGUCCGGAAGAGGAGAGUGGAAUUCCUGGUGUAGCGGUGAAAUGCGCAGAUAUCAGGAGGAACACCGAUGGCGAAGGCAGAUCUCUGGGCCGUAACUGACGCUGAGGAGCGAAAGCAUGGGGAGCGAACAGG